rnacentral:lncRNA from 1 species
ACAGCCAUCCAUCUACAGAAACUCAGCGACCGUUCAACACAUGGCUGGACUCUAGCAAGCUGAACGAGAAGGGCGUGACUCAGUGUUCGAGCUUCAAUGAAGGCACCUACAAGUGUCUACUGCCUCUGAUGAAGGGGACCAAUAUCGCUUUCUCCAAGACGGAAUCGUAGAGGGUUAGGAGGCGCGCGCGUGGCGACGGCGCAGCGAGCGAGCGCGCGCGAAUACAAGAGGUACAUAUCGGCGCUGGAUGGACCGGGGUGCGGGGCUGGCUGAGUGUGUGCAGUGGUCGUGUUUGUGUGGAGUAUGCACCAGCUAACGGCCACCUCAAUCUGUCAAUAACGUCAGUGAGCUGCGUGGGGGCAGCAGCACUGCCACGUGUCCCCCCCCUACCCUAGAUUUUUUUUCGCCAACAGCUGUAAGUCGUGCUGCUGCUGCUGCUGCUUAUGCAAGUCCAGAGCAGUUCAAAUACUAGACCCGAGUAGCCGAAUCUCUUAUUGAUUUGCUAGUGUCACCUCAACGAAACUUUUAUUCGUGCUAACAUAUAUAUGUGUAUAUAUAUAUGCAUUCACAUGCGUAAAUCAGGAUUUCACGCAGCCGUCACGUUGUGAUAAACUUGAUUCCAAGUGCAGAUGUAGAAAGUUAGCAUUUUGUAGCGAGGAGCCGAGGACAGAGGAUAGAGAGAGAGUUCCAUGCUGGGGUGGAUGUCACUCUGUUCACGUAUAACAUCAAUAGGAAGUGAAAAUGUUUGUUUAUGGAGAUCUGCAUCAUUUUGAGGUUUAAUAUAAUGUGUUUCAUAUUGUAUUUCUAUAUUCUUGAAGUGAUACAGAGUUGCUUAGUGGCGCUGUAAGCAAUGCAGAGCUGAUUAUAUAUAUCAAGAGCUAAUAAUACAUAUAUUACAAUACAAUUACAAUACAACAAUAAGGUUAAUACAAUAAGGUAUUAUUAGCUCUUGAUAUACAUGUGUAUAAUAGGUAUAAGGUUGUUGCAGGGUUAGCAUUUCACAGUUAUGAUCAGGAGUAAAUAAUAUGCCUAUUAUUGACUCCUGAUGUUAUAUAUAUAUAUAUAUAUGACAUUACACUAAGGUAGAUCCCCGUGAUUUCGUGUUAGUGCACAUGUUUCUGUCUCGGACAACUGCUUGUGUAGGGUAAAUAUAGCCAGCAGUUAUUAUUGCGAUUAGCUGAGAAAAGUAGUCGCUGGGGCAGUAUGAUAGCACCUGAUAGUCUGACCUUUACUUACAAAGUGUGGCGACCGAAUUUCCCUGCGUAAACAAUGUAAGCUUGUGAACUGUCUGAACGUGGCUGCUGCUAUACGGAUAGUAGCAGUGAGUCACCGCACGUCUUCCGGGACUCUUCCCUGAGCCGCCGCCGCCGCCACUUCCGACCAACAUUAUCCAACCUGGACUUUUUCUCCGCGGAAAACACGCAUCGAGUUAUUUUAGGAGGACUGCGGUUUCCUGCGCCGCUCGUUUAUUGCAGUGUUGUCGUACUUCUGUAUAAUAUACUCCCGUGCUGGUGUGUGUGUGCGUGCGUGCGUGCGUGCGUCCGUGCGUGUGUGUGUGGGCGGGGAACACCUCGAUGUCAGUGCAUGCACAUCCGUGUUAUUCUCCAGCUGCAGAAGAACUAGUGCACAGCUGUCACGAAAAAGCGCGAUUGGCGCGUAGCAAGGCAAUCGUAUUGCAUGGAAUUCCCCAUCGCCAGCGAUGGCUGGAUGGCCAGGUACGCACGCGGCUAGUGUGUACGCUGUACGGAUUAUAUUUUUAUAAUGUUUCUCGCAGUGAACUCUACUCCCUGCCUUUUUCCCGCCGUGUAUAUUGAGACUAAAUGCUAUUAUUAAAUGGCAGGGAAUAAACUAAAAGCGUAGUGAACAAAAACGGUGGUAGAAGCCAGCGUGCGGGAGGCGGCUGUAGAGGGAUGGUGUGUGGUAGAAGCCAGCGUGCGUGCGGGAGGCGGCUGUAGAGGGAUGGUGUGUGGUAGAAGCCAGCGUGCGUGCGGGAGGCGGUUGACAGCUUCAUUGUUUACGAGCGGAUUUUCUUACACAGAGCUUUAACGCAUGCAUCGCAGAACCCCGAUGAGUGAGGCUUAUGCUAUAUACGUGUCAGCACAGUAUAUUGUACCUGUACAAAAAUGAAUAAAUCGAAUGUGUAUUUGAUUAUAAGCACG